rnacentral:rRNA from 1 species
AUGCCAUCUUUGAGUGAACUAAGCAUAUUAUGCCAUCUUGGUCAUUUCGGAGCUAACCUAGGUAAACUAGGUCAUUUUGGAGCUAACCUAGGUAAACUUGGUCAUUUUAGAGCUAACCUAGGUAAACUAGGUCAUUUUGGAGCUAACCUAGCUAAAAUGGAUCAUGUUGGAGCUAACCUAGGUAAACUUGGUCAUUUUGGAGCUAACCUAGCUAAAAUGGAUCAUAUUGGAGCUAACCUAGGUAAACUUGGUCAUUUUGGAGCUAACCUAGGUAAACUUGGUCAUUUUGGAGCUAACCUAGCUAAAAUGGAUCAUAUUGGAGCUAACCUAGGUAAACUUGGUCAUUUUGGAGCUAACCUAGGUAAACUAGGUCAUUUUGGAGCUAACGUAGCUAAAAUGGAUCAAAUUGGAGCUAACUUAGGUAAACUUGUUCAUUUUGGAGCUAACCUAGAUAAAUGGAUCAUAUUGGAGCUAACCUAG